CCUACGUGAGGCAGCAGUGAGGAAUAUUGGUCAAUGGACGAGAGCCUGAACCAGCCAAGUAGCGUGAAGGAUGACUGCCCUAUGGGUUGUAAACUUCUUUUAUAAAGAGAUAAAACGAGGCACGUGUGCCUUUUUGCAUGUACUUUAUGAAUAAGGAUCGGCUAACUCCGUGCCAGCAGCCGCGGUAAUACGGAGGAUCCGAGCGUUAUCCGGAUUUAUUGGGUGUAAAGGGAGCGUAGAUGGGUUGUUAAGUCAGUUGUGAAAGUUUGCGGCUCAACCGUAAAAUUGCAAUUGAUACUGGCAGUCGUGAGUACAGUUGAGGUAGGCGGAAUUCGUGGUGUAGCGGUGAAAUGCUUAGAUAUCACGAAGAACCCCGAUGGCGAAGGCAGCUUACUAAACUGUGACUGACAUUGAUGCUCGAAAGUGUGGGUAUCAAACAGGAUUAGAUACCCGAGUAGUC
rnacentral:rRNA from 1 species